rnacentral:rRNA from 1 species
UGGGGAAUAUUGCACAAUGGGCGCAAGCCUGAUGCAGCCAUGCCGCGUGUAUGAAGAAGGCCUUCGGGUUGUAAAGUACUUUCAGUCGGGAGGAAGGUGGUAAGGUUAAUAACCUUAUCAAUUGACGUUACCGACAGAAGAAGCACCGGCUAACUCCGUGCCAGCAGCCGCGGUAAUACGGAGGGUGCAAGCGUUAAUCGGAAUUACUGGGCGUAAAGCGCACGCAGGCGGUUUGUUAAGUCAGAUGUGAAAUCCCCGGGCUCAACCUGGGAACUGCAUCUGAUACUGGCAAGCUUGAGUCUCGAGAGGGGGGUAGAAUUCCAGGUGUAGCGGUGAAAUGCGUAGAGAUCUGGAGGAAUACCGGUGGCGAAGGCGGCCCCCUGGACGAAGACUGACGCUCAGGUGCGAAAGCGUGGGGAGCAAACAGG